GAGACUCUGUGCGCGUGCAUAUCAAUAAGCGGAGGAAAAGAAACUAACAAGGAUUCCCUUAGUAACGGCGAGUGAAGCGGGAAGAGCUCAAAUUUGAAAUCUUCAAGGUUCUACCUUGACGAAUUGUAGUUUAUAGAAGUGUUUUCUGUUGGAGUUUCGGUAAAAGUUCUUUGGAAUAGGACAUCAUAGAGGGUGAGAAUCCCGUAUUUGACCGUUACUUUCCAGCUGUGUGAUACACUUUCAAAGAGUCGGAUUGUUUGGGAAUGCAGUCCAAGAUGGGUGGUAAAUUUCAUCUAAAGCUAAAUAUUGGCGAGAGACCGAUAGCGAACAAGUACCGUGAGGGAAAGAUGAAAAGAACUUUGAAAAGAGAGUUAAACAGUACGUGAAAUUGUCAAAAGGGAAGCGUUUGACACCAGUGUUGUUUUUUCCGAAAAUCAAUUACGAAUGUUUUGUUUUUGAGGAGUUAUGACUUCAUCGGCUUGCUCCUUUCUUUAUGAAACUUUCUUAAUGCACUUUUCGGUUAACAAGUCAACAUCAAUUUCUUUUGUUGUAAAAGGGUAUGAGGAAGGUGGCUUUCUUUUCGGAGAAAGUGUUUAUAGCCUUUUACCUCUGCAAUCGGAGAGAUUGAGGUACAUGCAGCGUAGACUCCUUCGGGGGUUAGAUACACUUUGUGCUAAGUUAUAGCUUGUCAUAGACAACUUGUUGACUAUGUUCAGUCAUUGUAGCUUACUCGCUGAUGCUAUUUUACCUACGCUUAGGAUGUUGAUCUGUAGUGCGUGCGC
rnacentral:rRNA from 1 species